CCGUGCUGCCACCCUCUCGGGCUGCACCUGAGCGCCACCUUUUCUGGUGUCUCCGGUGUUUUUGCUGCUCCAAUGACUGAUCCUUAUCUAUUGCACAUUCGAUAUGAGUCUAAACUAAGUACCGUACCCUCCGUCGCUUCACCGAUCCGACGGUCCACAUCGGCGAUCGGGCUCCUCCAUCUUCUCUGCGUUCGGCCGCUGCUUCCGUACCCCCGAAUCGCUCUUCCCAAUAGGUUAGGGUUUCCUUCGCGACGACGUUCGGAAGAGCAGUUUCUUUCUCGACUUUCCUUGUGAAUAAGACACGCUUUUCUGAAAUUGUUGUUUCUCCUCAUCUGCUGGGACAUCUCUUGAUUUGAUCGAACUGAAGAGUACGAUGAGGAUAAAGGAGACUGUGACGAAUAUGAAGAGGAUGCAUCUGAACAAGAUGGAGAAGAUGAACAAGAAAUUCCAAGACCCACCAAGGAGGAAUGAAAAUUUCACAUGUUGAGGGAACAACUAAAGGACAGGUUUAGAAGAAAUCUUGAAAAAACAAAUGCCAAGGCUUUUUGUCAUUUGUCUCAAACCCAUGACAAGAGAAGAACAAUACCAAAUGGCAUGUACAAUCCUAGUAAAUAUUCAGGGAUUGACGAGGAUGUCAGCGAUCAUGGAAGUUGGUUGUGAUGUAACACAGAAAGAAGAGCAAAUAAGUUCCAAGUUUACCAGAAAGGAGGAUGAAGAGCAGCUUCGCUCGAUCGUGGAAGAAGAGGCACUGCAGAGAUAGCUGAGAAGAAUGAAGAAAAAGCUAAAGCAUGGCUAGGCGAUGCUGCAGAGCUGAUAACAUCUCCCAAGUUUACCUCAUUGUAGAUUGCCAAUGCAGAAGUAAUGAAGCACAGCUAAGGGUUGAAAGUUAACCAGAAAAAGAGACAGAAUUCUUAUUCAAAGUUUUUGGAAGAAAGCUCAUCGUGCAGUGCAUGCGAUAUACGCAAAAAUGGAUUUAACGGUUUUUUUUGUGGGAACCGUUACCUCGCUACUGCAACAACCACGACAACAACGACAAGCCUUAGUGUCUCAAUUAUUUUUUGUUAAAAAUCUUAAUGUAUUCCUCAUCCUUGCCAAUGUGAUUACAGUGCAGUACUUGUUGUUGCUCCAGCAAGAAUCAUUGUUCUGAGAAAUUUGGAGGCAUUAUUGUAUAAAUGGCGAUCAAAUUCUGGAAAUAAGAUUAGUUGUC